rnacentral:rRNA from 1 species
AUGAUUUUAAAUAAUUAAAUGGCUGCGGUAUAAUUGNCUGUACAAAGGUAGCAUAAUCAAUUGUUUUUUAAUUAAAANCUGGAAUGAAAGAGUUAAUGAGAUAUNCNCUGUCUCAUAUAUAUUAAAUUAAUUUAAAUUUUUAGUUAAAAUGCUAAAAUUAAUUUAUGGGACGAUAAGACCCUAUAGAAUUUUAUAUUAAUAUUUUAAUUAUAAUUUUAUUAUUGAAUAUUAAUAUUUUGUUGGGAGGAUAGGUAAAUUUAUUAAACUUUAUUUUAAAUAUUNNCUUUAAUUAAAGAAUAUAUUUUGAUCUUUUAGUAAAAAUGAAAAGAGUAAAUUACCUUAGGGAUAACAGCGUAAUAUCUUUUUAAAGAUCUUAUUGAAAAAGAUGAUUGCGACCUCGAUGUUGAAUUAAGAUAAAUUUUAAAUGAAGAAAUNNAAUNAUUAAGUCUGUU